rnacentral:rRNA from 1 species
AGUGAACGCUGGCGGUAGGCCUAACACAUGCAAGUCGAACGGCAGCACAGUAAGAGCUUGCUCUUACGGGUGGCGAGUGGCGGACGGGUGAGGAAUACAUCGGAAUCUACUUUUUCGUGGGGGAUAACGUAGGGAAACUUACGCUAAUACCGCAUACGACCUACGGGUGAAAGCAGGGGAUCUUCGGACCUUGCGCGAUUGAAUGAGCCGAUGUCGGAUUAGCUAGUUGGCGGGGUAAAGGCCCACCAAGGCGACGAUCCGUAGCUGGUCUGAGAGGAUGAUCAGCCACACUGGAACUGAGACACGGUCCAGACUCCUACGGGAGGCAGCAGUGGGGAAUAUCGGACAAUGGGCGCAAGCCUGAUCCAGCCAUACCGCGUGGGUGAGGAAGGCCUUCGGGUUGUAAAGCCCUUUUGUUGGGAAAGAAAAGCAGCAGGUUAAUACCCCGCUGUUCUGACGGUACCCAAAGAAUAAGCACCGGCUAACUUCGUG